rnacentral:rRNA from 1 species
CCUACGGGAGGCAGCAGUGGGGAAUAUUGGGCAAUGGAGGCAACUCUGACGCAGCAAUGCCGCGUGAGCGAUGAAGGUAAUUUUAUUGUAAAGCUCUUUUCUUUGGAACGAAUAAAUGACGGUACCAAAGGAAUAAGCCCCGGCUAACUACGUGCCAGAAGCAGCGGUAAUACGUAGGGGGCAAGCGUUGUCCGGAAUGACUGGGCGUCAAGGGUGUGUAGUUGGUUUGAUAAGUUUGAUGUGUAAUACCCAGGGAUUAACUCGGGUGCUGCAUCUAACACUAGUAGACUAGAGUACUAGAGAGGAUAGUGGAAUUCCAAGUGUAGCGGUGGAAGGCGUAGAUAUUAGGAGGAACAUCAGUGGCGAAGGCGACUAUCUGGGCAGCAACUGACACUGAGGGACGAAAGCGUGGGGAGCAAACAGGAGUAGAUACCCCAGUAGUC